AAUCUCAAGCCACCACGCAAAGGCGUAUCCAUGGCAACCUCAAAAGGAAGGACACAGAGAUGAUGCUCCAGUGGCUGCAGCAGGAAAAGGAAACCUGUGGCUCCGUGUGGAUUCAGGGGUGCCUUGAGGACGCUCCCAGGAAAGGAGGAGGAGGACCCUUGCAGUUCUGCAGGAACUCUGAGGCGCAGGCAGUCUGACCCCGGGAGAACACUGCCAGGCUGAAGAGCUCAACCCCACCCGAGCUGAAAACGGCGCGCCGAGCGUGGCCGAGAAGACAUCGAUCAGGCACAAAUCUGGACACCUGGGACGAGAUAUGCGCACGCGCACUGUGCCUGGGAAGACGAUUAGGACCAUAAGGGAAAAGCGCGUCCUGGAGCGCGUCCCCUGCCGGCGAAGGGGAGAAGGCGCAGAGGGUCUUGAAGACUCAUUUGCAAACUUUUCCGUACUAAACUGUUAAUUAAAACGACAACGGAAAAAGCAUAUUUCAUCGAUUAACUUGGGAAAAUAAUUAAAUUUUGCUGCUACUCAGUAUCACCCAUCAUGUGGGGAUACAGGCAUUUUUAUGACCUUGUAAUCAGAAUAUAAAAUAACGCAAAUUUACAUAAUGGCAUUUUGGCACUUUUAUAUUUAAAAAAAAUUACGAAGUACAAACUUAUUGAACCAAUGCGCCAACUUCUGAUAAUGUGGCCUACAGAAAUAAUCUAACAAGUAUGCAAAGAUAUUUGUACAAGGAUGUUGGGAGAGCCAGGAUUUGGAUUCGAAUUCUAACUACAAUUUACUAGGUAUGUGAGAUCUUGAGUGGGUUACUUAACCUUUCCGUGCCUGUUUCCUCAUUUAUAAAAUGAGAACGUUAAUGGUGGUAUCUAUCUCAUUACGUUGUUAGGAGGAUUAAGUGAAUCCAUUUAAAGAGUCUGAACUAUAACUAUAUAAUAUUUACGUUUAUCUCAGUUAAUCUCAGAUUGAAAACAAACUGAAAAAUUCACAAAAUAGACGGAGGAGUGGGGGUGGGGUGUAAAUAAUAGAAGGAAUGAAUUGAGCACUCCACUCUACUUCUCCUGCUGUCUUUCCCUUUUUACCUUCUAAAUAUUUCUAAUUAUUAUUCUGAAUAGAUAAUACAUUUGCAUGGUUCAAAAAUCAAAACAAUAUUUAAAAGUAUGCACUGAGAAGCAUCCCUUCAACCCUUAUUCCCAUCUACUUUAACCCCUAUGUCUGCUACUAAUAAUCCUUGUUAUUAGUUUCUUGUUUAUCUUUUCAGUCUUUUAUGCAAAUACAAGCACAUAUGACUAUAUAGUCUUCUGUUUCUUAUGCAAAAGGCAGCAUACUAUAUACACUUGCACCUUGUUUUCUUAACUUAACAAUCCUGGAUGGCUCGGUGUAGUGGCUCACGUCUGUAAUCCCAGCACUCUGGGAGGCCAAGGUGGACAGAUC